rnacentral:rRNA from 1 species
GUUUCAUUUAAAUUUAAAUUAGAAUUUUAUUUUUUAGUCAAAAAGCUAAAAUUUUAUUAAAAGACGAGAAGACCCUAUAAAUCUUUAUAAUUUUUUUUAAUUUAAUUUUUUAAGAUAAAUUUUAUUAUAAUAAAAAAAAUUAUUUUAUUGGGGUGAUAUUAAAAUUUAAAUAACUUUUAAUUAUUUAAAUUACAUUAAUUUAUGAAUUGUUGAUCCAUUAUUAAUGAUUAAAAAAUUAAGUUACUUUAGGGAUAACAGCGUAAUUUUUUUGGAGAGUUCUUAUCGAUAAAAAAGUUUGCGACCUCGAUGUUGGAUUAAGAGAUAUUUUUAAUGCAGAAGUUAAAAUAUAAAGUCUGUUCGACUUUUAAAUUCUUACAUGAUCUGAGUUCAAACCGGUGUAAGCCAGGUUGGUUUCUAUCUUUAAUUUUAUAUAAUAUUUUAGUACGAAAGGAAUUUAUAUUAGAAAAAUUUUUUAUAAAAAGAAU